GACGAACGCUGGCGGCGUGCUUAACACAUGCAAGUCGAACGGUGAAGCGCCUUCCUUGUUGGUUGGUGUGGUUGAGAGGCGAACGGUAGAGUAACACGUGAGUAACCUGCCCUCUUCUUUUAGUUAAGCACAUGAAAGCUAGUCCAAUAUGGGAUCUCCUGGGUCUGGCGGAUGGUGGGUCUGGUAAAGCUGUUGGUUCUGUGCGGGCUGCGCUCGCGGUGUAUCAGGUUGUUGGUGGGGUGAUGGCCUAUCAAGGCGGUGACGGGUAGCAGGCCUGGGCGGGUAGACGGUCACAGUGGGACAGAGACACGGCCGAGACUGCUACGGGAGGCAGCAGUGGAGAAUAUUGCACAGUGGGCAAAAGUCUACUGCAGCCGCGCCGCGUGAGGGAUGGAGGCCUGCGGGUUGUGAACCUCUUUCGCUAGUGAAGCAGGCCUGCCUCGUUUGUGGGUGGGUUGACGGUAGCUGGAAAAGAAGCGCCGGCUAACUACGUG
rnacentral:rRNA from 1 species